rnacentral:rRNA from 1 species
UACGAAGGGGGCUAGCGUUGCUCGGAUUGACUGGGCGUAAAGGGCGCGUAGGCGGUUCGUACAGUCAGACGUGAAAUUCCUGGGCUCAACCUGGGGGCUGCGUUUGAUACGUGCGGACUUGAGUGCGGAAGAGGGUCGUGGAAUUCCCAGUGUAGAGGUGAAAUUCGUAGAUAUUGGGAAGAACACCGGUGGCGAAGGCGGCGACCUGGUCCGAUACUGACGCUGAGCACGAAAGCGUGGGGAGCAAACAGG